rnacentral:rRNA from 1 species
CCUACGGGAGGCUGCAGUGAGGAAUAUUGGUCAAUGGGCUAAGGCCUGAACCAGCCAAGUCGCGUGAGGGAAGACGGUCCUAUGGAUUGUAACCCUCUUUUGUCGGGGAGCAACGAGGCCACGUGUGGCCGAAGUGAGAGUACCCGAAGAAAAGCAUCGGCUAACUCCGUGCCAGCAGCCGCGGUAAUACGGAGGAUGCGAGCGUUAUUCGGAUUUAUUGGGGUUAAAGGGUGCUGAGGCGGAACAUUAAGUCCGCGGUAACAUCGAGGGGCUCAACCCCUUUAAGCCGUUGAAACUGGUGAGCUUGAGGUGGCGAGAAGUAUGCGGAAUGCGUGGUGUAGCGGUGAAAUGCAUAGAUAUCACGCAGAACUCCGAUUGCGAAGGCAGCAUACCGGCGCCCGACUGACGCUGAGGCACGAAAGCGUGGGGAUCGAACAGGAUUAGAUACCCGAGUAGUC